rnacentral:rRNA from 1 species
CCCAAACCGACACAGGUGAUCAGGUAGAGAAUACCAAGGCGCUUGAGAGAACUCGGGUGAAGGAGCUAGGCAAAAUGGCACCGUAACUUCGGGAGAAGGUGCACCGCUUUUGGUGAUGGGAUUUACUCCCUAAGCUGAGGGCGGUCGAAGAUACCAGGCCCCUGCAACUGUUUAUUAAAAACACAGCACUCUGCAAACACGUAAGUGGACGUAUAGGGUGUGACGCCUGCCCGGUGCCGGAAGGUUAAUUGAUGGGGUUAGCGUAAGCGAAGCUCUUGAUCGAAGCCCCGGUAAACGGCGGCCGUAACUAUAACGGUCCUAAGGUAGCGAAAUUCCUUGUCGGGUAAGUUCCGACCUGCACGAAUGGCGUAAUGAUGGGGGCGCUGUCUCCACCCGAGACUCAGUGAAAUUGAAAUCGCGGUUAAGAUGCCGUGUACCCGCGGCUAGACGGAAAGACCCCGUGAACCUUUACUAUAGCUUUGCACUGAACUUUGAACCUAUCUGUGUAGGAUAGGUGGGAGGCUUUGAAGUCGAGACGCUAGUUUCGAUGGAGCCGUCCUUGGAAUACCACCCUGGUAUGUUUGAGGUUCUAACGUCGGCCCCUUAUCGGGGUUACGGACAGUGUAUGGUGGGUAGUUUGACUGGGGCGGUCUCCUCCCAAAGAGUAACGGAGGAGCACGAAGGUGUGCUAAUCAUGGUCGGAAAUCAUGAGGUUAGUGUAAAGGCAAAAGCACGCUUGACUGCGAGACAGACAUGUCGAGCAGGUACGAAAGUAGGUCUUAGUGAUCCGGUGGUUCUGUAUGGAAGGGCCAUCGCUCAACGGAUAAAAGGUACUCCGGGGAUAACAGGCUGAUACCGCCCAAGAGUUCACAUCGACGGCGGUGUUUGCCACCUCGAUGUCGGCUCAUCACAUCCUGGGGCUGAAGCCGGUCCCAAGGGUAUGGCUGUUCGCCAUUUAAAGUGGUACGCGAGCUGGGUUUAGAACGUCGUGAGACAGUUCGGUCCCUAUCUGCCGUGGGCGUUGGAGAUUUGAGAAGAGUUGUUCCUAGUACGAGAGGACCGGAAUGAACGAACCUCUGGUGUUCGGGUUGUCAUGCCAAUGGCAUUGCCCGGUAGCUACGUUCGGACGGGAUAACCGCUGAAAGCAUCUAAGCGGGAAGCCUCCUUCAAGAUGAGAUCUCCCUGGGACUUUAAGUCCCCUAAAGAGCCGUUGAAGACUACGACGUUGAUAGGUUGGGUGUGGAAGCGCAGCGAUGCGUUGAGCUAACCAAUACUAAUUGCUCGUGCGGCUUGAUC